rnacentral:rRNA from 1 species
UACGGAGGGUGCAAGCGUUAUCCGGAUUCACUGGGUUUAAAGGGUGCGUAGGUGGGCAGGUAAGUCAGUGGUGAAAUCUCCGAGCUUAACUCGGAAACUGCCAUUGAUACUAUCUGUCCUGAAUUUUCUGGAGGUGAGCGGAAUAUGUCAUGUAGCGGUGAAAUGCUUAGAUAUGACAUAGAACACCCAUUGCGAAGGCAGCUCACUACGGGACAAUUGACACUGAGGCACGAAAGCGUGGGGAUCAAACAGG